GAGAUUGUCUGGAGAAGAGGAGAGGGAGGGACAGGCUUCCUUUACUACUGGCUUCACCUCUAACCACAGGAAAAAUUUUCCACCGUUUCCAUUAUUUCUGGCAUGAAGCCACACAGAGAGAAAAGAGACUUUCUGUGGAAAGGAGAGAUGGAGUCCAUGAGCAGGAAGUCACCAGUAGAUGACUUGGACUGCUGUGAAGUUAAACUACAGAGGCCUGUUGGUGAAAAAAGGAACCCCAAAAACCAGUCCUGAAGAAAAUGGAGUCAUGGGGGAAAAUAACACGUGGAAGAUGCCUGACUUCAAGCAACACCUAGCCCAGAGGCCUGGAUGGGGUGGAAGUGCCAGAAGUGAAUACCUACAGAGAAGAGAACCCAGUGGUGCCAAGAGGGAUGAGAAAGCAGAGAAAAGGAUGCCCUCCCCACCAGCAGUACCCAGGCAACUAUAAUCAAGGAAUUCAUCACUAGCAACUACCAAGAAUAUUAGAGGUAGCAGGUACAAAAUCACAUUCAAUUAUAAAAAUGCACUGUUUUGUAGCCAUUUCUAUUAGGUUUCCAUUAUUAUCUUUUGUGGCCAUAAGUCCCCUGAAUCCCACAGAGCUAAAAUCAAGAUGUCAGUUGGGC
rnacentral:lncRNA from 1 species